UUCCGGUUGAUCCUGCCGGACCUGACUGCUAUCGGAUUGAUACUAAGCCAUGCGAGUUUUUGUAGUAAUACAAGGCAGACGGCUCAGUAACACGUAGUCAAUCUAACCUAUGGACGAGGAUAACCUCGGGAAACUGAGAAUAAUACUCGAUAGAUCAUUAUGCCUGGAACGGUUUAUGGUUCAAAUGAAUUUCGCCAUAGGAUGGGACUGCGGUCUAUCAGCUUGUUGGUGAGGUAAUGGCCCACCAAGGCUAUUACAGAUACGGGCUCUGAGAGGAGAAGCCCGGAGAUGGGUACUGAGACACGGACCCAGGCCCUAUGGGGCGCAGCAGGCGAGAAAACUUUGCAAUGUGCGAAAGCACGACAAGGUUAAUCCGAGUGAUUCCUGCUAAAGGAAUCUUUUGUUAGUCGUAAAACCACUGAUGAAUAAGGGGUGGGCAAGUUCUGGUGUCAGCCGCCGCGGUAAAACCAGCACCUCAAGUGGUCAGGAUGUUUAUUGGGCCUAAAGCAUCCGUAGCCGGCUUUGUAAGUUUUCGGUUAAAUCUAUAUGCUCAACAUAUAGGCUGCCGGGAAUACUGCAAAGCUAGGGAGUGGGAGAGGUAGACGGUACUCCGUAGGAAGGGGUAAAAUCCUUUGAUCUAUGGAUGACCACCUGUGGCGAAGGCGGUCUACCAGAACACGUCUGACGGUGAGGGAUGAAAGCUGGGGGAGCAAACCGGAUUAGAUACCCGGGUAGUCCCAGCUGUAAACGAUGCAAACUCAGUGAUGCAUUGGCUUGUGGCCAGUGCAGUGCCGCAGGGAAGCCGUUAAGUUUGCCGCCUGGGAAGUACGUACGCAAGUAUGAAACUUAAAGGAAUUGGCGGGGGAGCACCACAAGGGGUGAAGCCUGCGGUUUAAUUGGAUUCAACGCCGGA
rnacentral:rRNA from 1 species